UCGAACGAAGGCUUCGGCCUUAGUGGCGCACGGGUGCGUAACGCGUGGGAACCUGCCCCUCGGUUCGGAAUAACUCAGGGAAACUUGAGCUAAUACCGGAUGAUGACUUCGGUCCAAAGAUUUAUCGCCGAGGGAUGGGCCCGCGUAGGAUUAGCUAGUUGGUGGGGUAAUGGCCUACCAAGGCGACGAUCCUUAGCUGGUUUGAGAGGAUGAUCAGCCACACUGGGACUGAGACACGGCCCAGACUCCUACGGGAGGCAGCAGUGGGGAAUAUUGGACAAUGGGCGAAAGCCUGAUCCAGCAAUGCCGCGUGAGAGAUGAAGGCCUUAGGGUUGUAAAGCUCUUUUACCCGGGAUGAUAAUGACAGUACCGGGAGAAUAAGCUCCGGCUAACUCCGUGCCAGCAGCCGCGGUAAUACGGAGGGAGCUAGCGUUG
rnacentral:rRNA from 1 species